rnacentral:rRNA from 1 species
AGUUAAGAAACGGAAGUUCCAGCAUAUAGCUCGAAGUUUAUUUACAUAUCACUAUGUAAAGACCCCAAUAUUAAGGUUUUCGCCCCAAAAAAACUGCCCUCCAGACACUGUCAAGUGUCCUGCUUCAAGGAAUCACUUUAAGAUUUCUAGUUAUUUCAGGGUGGUCUCUCAAUGAUGAAAUUUCAUUCUCCCACCUAGACUGCACAAAAAUAACUGGAAACCAAUAUCAAGAUACAGUCAAGCUUCACGGGGUCUUCUUGUACUGAUGUAAGGAAAUCCGCAUCUUCACGGAUAUGUCUAUUUCACCGAGUCUCUCUCUGAGACAGUAUUCAUUUGAUUGCGCCUUUCGUGCGGGUCGAAACUUACUCGACAAGGAAUUUCGCUACCUUAGGACCUUCAGAGUUAAGGCCGCCGUUCACCGGGGCUUCAGUUAUCAGCUUUCACCAAUUCCUUUAACCUUCCGGCACUGGGCAGGCGUCAGCCCCCAUACGUUGUCUUACGACUUUGCGGAGACCUAUUUUUUUGUUAAAAAGUUCAAUGAAUUUGUUCACUGCGGAAUUUUUCUUUCAGGGAAAGAAAAAUACACCCCUUCUCCCGAAGUUACGGGGCUAUUUUGCCGAGUUCCUUAGAGAGAGUUAUCUCGCGCCCCUGAGUUUACUCAACUUACCCACCUGUGUCGGUUUACGGUACAGGUUAUUUUUAUUAUUAAGAGUCUCAAGCUUUUCUAGGAAGUAUAACAAAAUUCAAAUUAUUUAAUAAAUAAAUUUAUCAAAUAACGUAUCAUGUCUUCAUACUGACCGGUCCGCUUCGCGGCCGUCAAGUUUAAUUUUUUUUUUUCAAACCAUAUGUUGAACAUUUCCACUCUGAACCAUUUUAAGAGUUUAAACUUGUUGCCUUCGUCCCUUGUCUCAAAAUAAAAAUAAGUACAGGAAUAUUGACCUGUUAUCCAUCGAUGACGCUUUUCAGCCUAAUCUUAGGCCCUGACUAACCCUCUCUGGACGAGCCUUGAAGAGGAAACCUUAGGCUUUCGGGGCAUUAGAUUCUCACUAAUGUUUUCGUUACUCAAGCCGACAUUCUCACUUCUGUUCGAUCUAUCAUUUUUUUUCAAAAAUCCUUCACCUCAUAACAGAACGCUCCCCUACCGCGUAGCCCACAGUUUCGGCAAAUAACUUAGUCCCGGACAUUUUCGGCGCAUCCACGCUUUUUUCCUAAAAAGAAAUAACCAGUGAGCUAUUACGCAUUCUUUCAAGGAUAGCUCACUGGUUAUUUCUUUUUAGGAAAAAAGCGUGGAUGCGCCGAAAAUGUCCGGGACUAAGUUAUUUGCCGAAACUGUGGGCUACGCGGUAGGGGAGCGUUCUGUUAUGAGGUGAAGGAUUUUUGAAAAAAAAUGAUAGAUCGAACAGAAGUGAGAAUGUCGGCUUGAGUAACGAAAACAUUAGUGAGAAUCUAAUGCCCCGAAAGCCUAAGGUUUCCUCUUCAAGGCUCGUCCAGAGAGGGUUAGUCAGGGCCUAAGAUUAGGCUGAAAAGCGUCAUCGAUGGAUAACAGGUCAAUAUUCCUGUACUUAUUUUUAUUUUGAGACAAGGGACGAAGGCAACAAGUUUAAACUCUUAAAAUGGUUCAGAGUGGAAAUGUUCAACAUAUGGUUUGAAAAAAAAAAAUUAAACUUGACGGCCGCGAAGCGGACCGGUCAGUAUGAAGACAUGAUACGUUAUUUGAUAAAUUUAUUUAUUAAAUAAUUUGAAUUUUGUUAUACUUCCUAGAAAAGCUUGAGACUCUUAAUAAUAAAAAUAACCUGUACCGUAAACCGACACAGGUGGGUAAGUUGAGUAAACUCAGGGGCGCGAGAUAACUCUCUCUAAGGAACUCGGCAAAAUAGCCCCGUAACUUCGGGAGAAGGGGUGUAUUUUUCUUUCCCUGAAAGAAAAAUUCCGCAGUGAACAAAUUCAUUGAACUUUUUAACAAAAAAAUAGGUCUCCGCAAAGUCGUAAGACAACGUAUGGGGGCUGACGCCUGCCCAGUGCCGGAAGGUUAAAGGAAUUGGUGAAAGCUGAUAACUGAAGCCCCGGUGAACGGCGGCCUUAACUCUGAAGGUCCUAAGGUAGCGAAAUUCCUUGUCGAGUAAGUUUCGACCCGCACGAAAGGCGCAAUCAAAUGAAUACUGUCUCAGAGAGAGACUCGGUGAAAUAGACAUAUCCGUGAAGAUGCGGAUUUCCUUACAUCAGUACAAGAAGACCCCGUGAAGCUUGACUGUAUCUUGAUAUUGGUUUCCAGUUAUUUUUGUGCAGUCUAGGUGGGAGAAUGAAAUUUCAUCAUUGAGAGACCACCCUGAAAUAACUAGAAAUCUUAAAGUGAUUCCUUGAAGCAGGACACUUGACAGUGUCUGGAGGGCAGUUUUUUUGGGGCGAAAACCUCCUAAAAGGUAACGGAGGUUUGCAAAGGUUUCCUCAAACUGGACGGAAAUCAGUUGUUGAGUGUAAAGGCAAAAGGAAGCUUGACUGCAAGACUUAUAAGUCGAGCAGAGGCGAAAGCCGGCCUUAAUGAUCCGACGGUAACCAAGUGGAAGGGCCGUCGCGCAAAAGAUAAAAGUUACUCCGGGGAUAACAGGCUUAUCUUCCCCAAGAGUUCACAUCGACGGGAAGGUUUGGCACCUCGAUGUUGACUUUUCGCAACCUGGGGCGGUAGUAUGUCCCAAGGGUUGGGCUGUUCGCCCAUUAAAGCGGUACAUGAGUUGAGUUCAGAACGUCGUGAGACAGUUUGGUCUAUAUACGAUGUAAGCGUUAGAAUAUUGAGAGGACUUUUCCAUAAUACGAGAGGACUUGGAAGAACGUACCCCUGGUGUACCAGUUCUUAUACCAAUAGGAUGCGCUGGGUAGCUAUGUACGGAAAAGAGAACUGCUGAAAGCAUCUAAGUAGGAAACUUACCUCAAGAUAAUUAUUCUCCAUUAGACUCCGGUUAGAUAACCCGGUUGAUAGGUUUUAGGUCGAAGAUUUGU